CAGUGGGUUGACAUGUCUCCACUCCCAUACACUGCAUGGGCACCUGGGGAGCCCAGUGGGACAGGUGGCGUUGAGAAGUGUGCCGAACUAAUAACUAAUGAUUACCUGCAGUGGAAUGACCGUGACUGUGAAACUGCCCUUUCCUAUCUCUGCAGAUAUUCCAGGUACUGAGGGCAGCCGUUUAUCGAGGCUUCAACACGCUCAGUGACCUUUGAGGAAUAUGGGGCUGAAUUCUGCCUUCCAAUGCCCCUUCCCCAUAGGCUGCCUGUGGGUCAGAUCUUCUCUUCUCUGGCCUCUGAUACUAAUAAACUUUCUCUCAAAUCA